AGAGACUUAGGUUAACACCAGACCAAGGGCCUUCAAAGCCCUAAGCGGAAGUGAAAAUCUCCCAGUCCCUG
rnacentral:tRNA from 1 species